AUUGUUCACAUUGAUGCAGAUCACCCGGUUUGGUUUAAAUAGUUUGUAUGAGUCAGUAUCGUGGAUGACAAAAAAAUAAAAUAAAGGGGAUUAAAAACCAAUAGCGUUUCAUGGUUUUUAGGGUGUAAAUAGCGUUCCAUGGUUUUUAGGUUGUAAUUAAUAGCGUUUCAUAUUACCAAAUAAACUGACAUCAUUUCAGGAAACAUGCGUAUCUUUGUUGUCUCCAUGAAACAAUUGGUUUUACUCUUUUACUUCAACUUCUUCUCUCCCCUUCUCCUCUUUGAUAUCCUUUGAUUUUAAUAUUAUUUAAAUAACUGUAGUGUCUAAUUAAAUUAAAUUAUAAUCAGAGUGUUUGUGGCGA
rnacentral:lncRNA from 1 species